GGGAUAUUUGGUUUCCAUAGUGAAACUGCAUCCGAUCUCAGCUAUACAAUUGCACGGAACAAAGGCAAGAGUCCCAGCCAGUGGCAGAUGGAGAAGACAAUCCCACUAGAUUCUGGGUACAGAUAUUUUAUCAGAGAUGCAACGCAGAGGUACUUGCUCUUGGCAAGGAUAGAAGCCUCAUCUCUGAAUCCACUUGUUGGACAUUUGUCAAUGGAUGUCAAGACGGUGCAGCUUCAGAAGAUUUAUGAGAAAGAGUACUAUCAUAAGUAUGCUACAUGCACGUAUAUCAACUUUGCACCAUCAUUGUUGUCUUCAAGGAGAAUAUGA
rnacentral:rRNA from 1 species